rnacentral:rRNA from 1 species
GAUGAACGCUGACAGAAUGCUUAACACAUGCAAGUCGAUGGGGAGGUGGUGCUUGCACCAUGGUAACCAUGGCGGACGGGUGGGUAACGCGUAAGGAACUUACCUGCGGGACCGGGAUAACAGCAGGAAACUGCUGACAAGACCGGAUAAGGUCAUUAAGCUGCAUAGCUUAGUGAUGAAAGGAGACGCCUGCGGAGAGCCUUGCGUCCUAUUAGCUAGUUGGAGGGGUAACGGCCCACCAAGGCGAAGAUAGGUAGCCGGCCUGAGGGGGUGGACGGCCACAAGGGGACUGAGAUACGGCCCUUACUCCUACGGGAGGCAGCAGUGGGGAAUAUUGGACAAUGGGGGCAACCCUGAUCCAGCAAUUCUGUGUGCACGAAGACGGUUUUCGGAUUGUAAAGUGCUUUCAGCAGGGAAGAAGGAAGUGACGGUACCUGCAGAAGAAGCGACGGCUAAAUACGUG